CUGCAAUUUCAGGUAGCUUUUCUGACUCUUAAAGAGAUCUCAAGUAUACCUUCAGAGAAAUGCCAGCAAAAACUGUAGUCAUUUGGGAAGGAAUAAGCCUGGAAGAAAAAGAUACAACGAACUAGCACAACGAGGAGUUUGAAAAGUUCAUGACAGCUCACAGCUGAUGAUGGUGGCAAUCUUAAGGAUACAGAAAGCUCAUUCCUCAUGCAGGGAAGAAGAAAAUAUUCUAAAGAAGAGAUAAGCAUAUUCCAUGAAAUCAAAAAAGCGUAAAACGCUGGAGGAGAAGUCAGUAGCAAGCAGCUAAGACAACAUGGUACAUGUGGGUCCAAUGUGAAAAACACUAAGUGGGAUGGUUAAUUGUAUGUGUUCCCUUGGCUGGACCAUGAUGACAGAUAUUUGGUCAAACAUUAUUCUGGAUGUUUCUGUAAAGGAGUUUUUGGGCUAGAAGCCCACCAACUGCUAACAACCAGCUGGAGGGUAAGUCAAAAGCUAUGAGAGCCCAGAAGGAGAACAAUUAUUUAGACCUGGAGGGGCCAGUUGGGAAAGUCUUUGAAGGGUCUUCAGAAAAUGGACCAAAAGAAAAGAGGAAAAGUCAUUCUACUGAGAGGUGUUUGUGUAAUCAAAGCAACCGAGGCCUAAGAACUCACAAAAGAUUAGAAAAGGGUAAAGGAUGCCUGGAAAGCCGGACUAGGAAAAGGCUGUGAAGGGCCCUGAAGGUCACAUGUCACAUGUUGCCUGCAGCAUGCAGAAUCAAAACAUGAUAAAUCAUGUCUUGAAUCAUGACAUAUGAAGCAUGACACACGAAUCAUGACAUGUGACAUGUUGAAUGUCACAUGUCACAUGCCGUAGGCAGCCAUCAAGAGUAUUUGAAAGGAAAGUGUAUAAUCAGGCCUGUGCUUUAGUAAGACAAUUUGUAUAGUGUUCAGUGUGGAUUAAAAUGGAGAACACAGGUAUCAGUUUGACAUCGACAGUACAGGAAACCAUUUGGGUUUCUUGUACACCAAAAUAUUAAAACAUACACGCAAACACACCAACACAUUAAAAUCUUGAGAGAGAGGGCCAAAAGUUCUUUGUCGCUGGACUAAAAGUGGAAAUAAAUGUUUACAACCUCUAAGGUGGAUUAAGCUAAGAAUUUGGAGUUGUUGGCAAAACUGCCACAUAAAAUUUCAGACAUGCAAAGAAAUGCAAUCGUAGACUUAUGCACAUACUUCCACCAGAGAAGGGAAUCUGGGCAGAGUGUUCAAAGCUUAAGAAAUUCCUUUGCUCUUCACCAAGAAGAGCCAACAGAGUUUUCGUUGAAUCAACUCUUAUAUUCCCUUAAAAAGAAGUUGAUAGUGUUGUGGAAAACUCACCCAUUGAAGUGACAACAAAAACAGCAACCCAGUAUGAGUUAACUGGUAUUAUGUUAAAGGGACAAGUAACUGCACUUUUGACACACAUCCUCUAAAAGGUAGGGUGGGAGUGUUUCAAAGAACCAAGUCUGAGUAAUAGAAAAGCAUAUACCACUUCCCCAUAUACACGUUCGAGCAUGGGGGAGCAGGAAGCUGGGUAAUUGAAUGCAGUUGUGCACACUGGCAAUUUUCCCGCCACAUACCAUUUCUUCGGUGUCUCUCCCAAAAUUCUCCUCCUAAGUGGCACAUCCCUUUAUUGAUCAUCUUUCCCCAUACUGAUCAUCCUCAGCAAUCAUGUGAGUUAUUAGUCUAAGUAUUUGUUUUUCUCAAAUAUGGUCUUUUAACUACUCCCUAAAUAUUUUAUAUAUACAUAGUUUGUUUUCCCAAUUUAACUACAAGCAUUUAAAAAAUGGGAAUAUUUGUCUAUAUUUCUGUAAUUUUUCAUCAUGCCUUAUAUGGUAUAUAAAGAUCAACAGCAAUAAAACAACAACAGUAAUAAUAGCUAAGACCUUUUG
rnacentral:lncRNA from 10 species